UACAGGGGGUGCAAACGUUGCUCGGAAUUAUUGGGCGUAAAGCGCACGUAGGCGGUUCGUUAUGACGGAUGUGAAAGCCCUUGGCUCAACUGAGGAAGUGCAUCCGAAACUGGCGAGCUAGAGUAUGUAAGAGGGUCGCGGAAUUCCCGGUGUAGAGGUGAAAUUCGUAGAUAUCAGGAGGAACACCAGUGGCGAAGGCGGCUUCCUGGACACCAACUGACGCUGAGACGCGAAAGCGUGGGGAGCAAACAGG
rnacentral:rRNA from 1 species